CAGAGCAGGACUCCAUCUGAAAAAAGUAAAAUUAAAUAAAUAAAAAUUAAAUUAAAUUAAAUAAACUGGGUAUCCUGUGACAUUACUUUGUUCUAUGUUUAAACAAGGAUAAUUAUGUUUUUAAAAAAGGAUUUCUAUUCCAGGGUUCCAUGGAAUAGAAAUUUGUUUCUUAAUGAAGUCAUAUUUGACACAUCCAAAGCCACAGAUGCCAAAACAUUGAUAAUUAAAGAGAAGUAUAGAUUUUCUUCACUGUCAUUUGAGGCAUUUCCAGAAUAAUUUUUACCCAAACAUGAAACAAAUAAGGAAUAUCAAAUGUGAGAUGCUGAGAGUUUCUUAUAUAUAAAUUUUAUUACAUCUGCUAAAUUUUGUAAUAUUGUUGUAAUUCAUGAAACAUUUUUAAUUGAAGUAAAAUACACACACAGUUUAUCAUCUUAACCAUUUUUAAAAAUCGUAAGCAUUUUAAGUGUGUGGCUGAGUUCUGUUUUAAGGAGAUAUAACUGUCGCACAACCGAUAUCCAGAACUUUUUCAACUGGCAAAACCGAAACUUGACCCGUUUAUCUCAGCCCAGCCCUAGUAGCCACCAUUCUACUUUCUGUCUCUAUCAGUUUGCUCCGAGAAUUCUAUCAAUCUGUCUUUAUUAAUUCUGCUCUAAGUACCUCAUAUAUGUAGAAUCAUGCAGUAGUGGUCUUUUUGUGACAGGCUUACUUCACCUGGCAUAAUGGCCUCAAGGUUCAUUCAUGCGGUAACAUAGUUCAGCAUUUCCUUCUUUUCCAAGGCUGAGUAAUAUUCUAUUGUAUGCAUACACCACCUUUAGCUUAUGCCUUCAUCUGUCCGUGGAUACUUGGGCUAAUGCUGCUAUGGACAUGAGUAUCUCUUCAACACCUUGCUUUCAGUUCUCACGGAUAUAUACAUGGAAGUUGAAUUGCUGGAUCAAAUGGUUACUUUUACUUUUUCAAGAAACCACCGUAUUAUUUUCCAUAGUGCCUAUAUCAUUUUAUAUUCCCACCAGAAUAUACAAGGACUCUGUUUUCUUCACAUUCUCACCAACACUUGUUAUUUCUGUGUUUCUUUCUCUUUUUUAUUUGUCUAUGUAUGUAUGUAUUUAUUUUUGGAUAGUGCCAUCCUGAUGGGUUGGGUGUGAUUGCUCAUUGGAAGGUUUUCAUUUUUAUUUCCCUAAUGAGUAAUGAUGUUGAGCAUCUUUUCUUAUUCAAGUCCUGUGCCCAUUUUUCAAUUGGGUUAUUUUUGUUGUUGUUGACUUGUAUAAGUUCUUUGCAUAUUCUGGAUAGCAGUUGCUUUUUCAGAUACAUGAUUUGCAAGUAUUUUCUCCCACUCCGUGUGUGCGUUUCCACUCUGAUGACGGUGUCAUUUGAUGCACAGAAGUUUUACAUUUUGAUGCAGUCCAGUUUAUCCAUUUUUCCUGCUAUGGCUUGUGCUUUUGGGGUCAUAGCCAGGAAAUCAUUGCCAAAGCCAAUGUCAAGAUAUUUUCCUCCAUGUUUUCUUCUAGGAAUUUUAUAGUUUUGAGUCUUAGGUUUAGGUCUUUGAUCCAUUUUGAGUUAAUUUUUGUCUGUGGUGUUAGGUAAGGGUCCAACUUCGUUGUUUUGCAUGUGGAUACCCAGUUUUCCGAAUACCAGCUGUUGAAGAGACUGUCCCUUCCCCCAGUGAAUGGUCUUGCCAUCAUUACUGAAAAUCAUUUGCCUGUAUAUGUAAGAGCUUAUUUCUGGCACUUCUACUCUAUUCUAUUGGUGUAUAUAUUUAUUUUUAUGCCCUCUUCCACUAUCACCUGGCCAUUGCCCAACACUGCAAUUAACAAUUUUUAAAUUGCUCCCUUAACAAAAAAAGUUUUUUUAAAAGACAUUUUUUAAAAAGUAUUGGAGAUUGUAGGAUGGGCAGCAGACUCUCAUCUUUGAAUUAUGAGUGUGGCUGCUUAAGGUAACAAUGUCACAUGUUUAUUCUGAUAAGACUUUCCGUGUUGCUGCAAUAUUAAAAUGCUAUUGCUUUUGGACAUCUUGAGUCUUUAGUAAAAUUAUCAUCCUCUUGCAAAUUGUUGGGAAUGCAGGCAUUUUUUCCCCUCCAAGGCAUAAUUAGGACACAUUGCAGAAGAAAGUUAGAUUUUUUAGAAUCAAUUUUUUUCUUUUCAUAUUUUACUAAUACUAUAGGGGAAAUGGGGAAAUGCUAUUUCUCAUUCAAAAGCACUGCACUGGAGCAUCGUGAUGUUUUGAAGCUCUCUCCUCACCUCCUCCCACACUGUUUGGUGCUCAGUCUUCUUUCCAUCAGAAUCAUUGCUGAUGGAUGCGUCUGUGAUGCUACAGCACCGGGGAAGGCUCCGAUUCAUACAAACCCUCUUCCACUGUCCCCUGGCCAUUGCCCAACACUGCAAAAUCCUUUGUCCUUUGGCUGAGCAGCCCUUUGGUGUGUUAAGAUGAAGAGUACGAUUGUAAAUUCAACCUCCACCCCUGAAGGUGACUACAGUUUGGAUGCUGCCCCAGGGCAGAAUUCCAGUGGACAGAGCAGGGAGUGGGAUCAGGGCUGAGACCACUGAGACCUUCCUGGGUGAGGCAGAUGCCUGGAGCAGGGUGGCCAGAAAGUGGAUCUCCCUACAUGUUUAUAAGAUUCUGGCAUUACUGAAGGGUAUUGAAUGGCUCGAAAGUUCAAGCCCUCCAGGCACAGCAGGGACUGCGGGCACUGCCAGGUGUCAUGGCCCAAUUGGCAUUGCUCAGGUCCUUUCCCUGCAGCACCGCCCUUACCUGCCACCUGUGUGCCCUGUGGUCUUACCUGCCACCUGUGUGCCCUGCGGUGAGCCUGUGAAACGAUACUGUUACCUUCUCUCACUUCCUUGAUGCCUGUUGCUUAUUCUCUUGAAGGAGCAUGGUGCAGGUCUGGAUUCUACCUGAAACGUCUCCAGGUGACUGUGUGGGCAGGACUUUUGGAAGCGCAUUGAACUCCAGGUGACAGAGAAGACCAGCGACUCUGUCUUUGUUAGAAACAGACCAAAACUUGAGAAUUUGGUGCAGGCCGUCCUUGUCAUCCCUACUUGGGAGAGGAAUAGUUAGGGCUGAAACAGGUCACCGUAACUGAUGAGGGCACAGUCUAUGCAAAGCCAGUGCUGCCAAGGAAAGUGUCUUCUCACAAGCAAGACUCCUUUGGCACUAGUGUCUUGUGUGUCUCAGUGGGUGUGAGCGUGUGUGUGAGGAAGGAGGGCAGGGGGCUGCUGCCUGUUGGGACAGCACGGCAUGUGUGCUGCAAAUUAAUGGGAUCUGGAGCCUGGAGACAGAGUCUUGUCCCUUCCCAGCUAUAUGACGUUAGGCAGAUCACUGACCUUACCACAUCUCAGUCCCUUCUAAAUCCAGGACUUAGCAUAACAACCCAUUCGCCUCUCCACUCUCCACGCAGGCUUGUGUGAGGGCUCAGUGUAGUGGUGGGAUUUUGUUCUUUCCUCUGUUCAUCCGUGCAUUGAUGGAUUGCUUCAUUCAAUAGUGAGCAUUUAGCACAGGUGGGGAGGAAAGCCCCCUGGGGAAGGAGCACAGACCCGAUCCUGGCUUCCUACAGCUCGCAGGUUCCUGCACGUUUUAUGGGGGAGGCCAAUACUGAGCAUCUGCUCUGUGCACCUGUGCAUAAGGGGGAGGGACGAUAAGGGCUGCAUUGACCUAGAGCUGCCAGCUGGGCUGGGGCUUCCUGGGGCACCUUUCACAGUGCCCCGCUCCUCCUUCCAGCAUUUCCUGCUGCCCUUUGCUGAUUCCACCCUCUCGUGAUUUUGUUCCACUGAUGGGUCCAUUUCAGCCUCCUUUCCAGGCUCCAGCUCCUGCGUCUGAGCUCUCUCUGCUGGUGUGGUCUGGCCGCUUGGUUCUGGCCUCUCUGUCCUCUCUCUACAAGCUCUCUGUCAGUAAUGCCGCUAUGUCCCUGCCUUUAAAUACUAUUUGUGCUUGAUAAUUUACAAACGUGUCUGUCCACUGAAACCUCCGGAGACGUAUACAACUGCCUCCUUGAUAGCGCCACAGCCAAGACCACCAGGCACAGCUGCGCAGGCUGUGCACUGCACAACUCCAGGGGCAUCGUUGAUACACACGGUAAAGCACAGUGACGAGCCCAGCAGAACAGGGUAGGACACGACAGUUAUUGCUGCUGAUGUUCUGUGUAGAAAACGUGUAACAAAUGACACGUCCUUAACCUUUUGAGGCAUUUAUAUUACUCCGUAUUUGGAUACUGAAGUGCCAUAAAGAGGUUUUGACUGCUAAACUACAGUUUCAUACUUAUGGGGAUGCAUUUGUGAUUCCUUUAUGUUUGUAAGUGAUACCAUACUGCUGACUACCUAGAAAGCUUCUCAUCUAGAACUAAGGAUUCCGAUACAUUUUUGAGGAGAAAGAAGAAAAAAGAAUGUAAGGUCGUUGUGGCUGUAGCUUCAGAAUAGAUCCCUUUAUGGUAGGUCAGCACUCAUGCCAUACACUCUUGUCAGCUGGUUUCUCAUUUUAGGAAACCACGGUCUAGUGAGGAGUUUGGAAUCGGGAAGAUGAGUUCAAAUGCCAGCCCUGCUGUGGGUGAUCUGGGGCUCGUUGGCCUCACCCUUGCUUUGGAGAAGCUAAACUUUGAAGUGUGUGGAAGGCAGCUUGGAUAGUCCUGGCAUGUUUGAUGGAUGUCACAUUUCAAUGCCUUUCCUUCCUCUUCUCUGUGGACGUAGAUUAAAUUCACUCUCAUUUAUUCCUGAAGCAUUUGGAGAGCAGGUGCCAAUGUCCCAGGCACAGGUGGAAACACGUGGUGCGUACAACCUUGCUCAAUCCCUCCCCCACCCCACCAGGUCGUGAUCCCUGAGGGAAGCAUGGUCUCAUGCGGGCUCUGAGCAAGACGGGUGAGAUGUUCUGUAAACCUGUGGCAGGCUGGGGAGAGGAGGCCAUGGCCAGCGUUGCCUUGGGGGACAGGGCAUGAAGGCACAUGGGUCUGGAAGGCAGUGUCAGGACUGAGACAGGAGGGUGAGUCCAGAGCGGGGACAGAGGACGAGAACUGAGACCUGCUUCCCACGCGUCUGUGGCCCAGGGAGGCCACGUGUGAGACCUGGUGUGGGUCGAGGACACUGCUCGGCGUUAGAAGAAGAAGUAGUGAAGGGCAGUAUUGGUGGAAUAGGCAGGAGAGGGAGACAACGUCUCCGGAGCCAGUGGGUGGGAGCCGCAGGGCUGGGCAGUGGGCACAGGUGCCAAGGGGAAUGGGGUCAGGGUUCUCCAGGCGUGGGCUUCACGGGGGUCUGUGUCGUUAACUGAGGGGCAGGCAGGAGCAGGUGGACCAGGAGGCGUGGAAGGGCUGAGGUUUGCUAACCGUAGUCCACUUGGGACCUUCCCACACGUGGUCUCCCAGAACCAUUCCGGUCUCACAGGUACAGAGAUGAGGUUGGAGAGGUUUUAGGAAGUCACCCAAUAACACACAAGCGUAAAAAGAUAGAACCAGGAUUUAAUAUAUUGAUUUCUGAUUCAAACUCUAUUUUUAUUUUAACCAUCUCCAACUGUGCAGAGGCAGUUGGGAAAUACAUGAGAGUCUUGGCUGCACUUUAGAUUUGGGAGUUAACAGAUAUGGCGGAAAUAACUAUGAUGGGAGUGUUUUUGACCCACAAUUUUCGUGAUAUAUAGUUAAUCAAUCACUCACUAGUUAAUCACUGAGUAGACGAGAAAGUGAUGUCUAACCCUAUUUGAAGAGAACAUGGCAGUUUCUGUUUUUCACUGGGUGUUUGGUGUAUUUACUUUUUGCUAUUGUUUUCCUGUAAUAUCACUACUAAGAGAUUAAACAUUUAGAGUUUUGCAGUACUGAGCAGUUGGCAAUCUUUUAUCCUGUGUGUGUGUGUGUAUGUGUGUGUGUGUGUGUCUAUGUAUGGUAUACAUAAAAUUGGGGUCAUAUUCUAUAUUUGUAUUUUAAAAUAUUUUGUUUGAAAAUAUAUAACAGAUAUUUUCUAUGGUUUUUACAUGAUUUUAAAUGAGCUGGUACUUUAAUAUAUAUAGAUGUGUGUGUGUACAUACAUACAUAUAUAUUUAUAAUAAUUUAGCCAAACUCUUACUGUCGACAUUUAAUUUUAAAAUUUACUUUACUACUAAAAAUAAUAUUGCAGAGAACAACAUUGUACAUAAUAAUUUAUGUGCAUUUCUGAUUUUUUCUUCACAUAUAUUUUGGAUGUGAAAUUGUUGGGUCAAGAGUUAUCAACACUUCAAGGGAUUUUAAUACAUAUUAUAGAAUUAGCGUUUCUGCAUGUAUGAAACAUUUGGAACUGCUUGGAGCACGUCACUCCUUCAAGUUGAGCAUCAGCAACUUUAUUUCCCUUGGUUCUCCAUCUAAGAGCCUACAUUCAUCAUAGACGUUUGUGUGCAAUAACACCAAUGGUUCCAAACCUUUAACCAAAGCUGGACGAAAUUAGAAUACUUUUGAGUCCCAAUUAAGGUUGGUUAACUUUAAAAGCUGCAGUCGAUGUAGUUUCAUUUUCAUGUGGGUCUGCACUUUUCAAACCUUGGUGUCAACUAGGAACAGAUGGGCUCAGAUCCUGAAAGAACAGCCUUUCCUGUGGACACUCCAGCCCAUGCUAAAGACAAAAUUGAGAAUUGCUCAGAUAGAUAUCCAAACCUCAAGCCUGUGUGAGGACUGCACAUUUGAGAUCAGCAACCGCAACCUCAUGCCCACACUGGCUGGCCCUGAUGCAUGUCUCUGAGAUCCCAAAUCUUACUCUUUACCUUUUCAGUUUUCAGAGCAUGAAAAGGUAUAUUUGGGCUUGUAACAUGGUCCUGAGUCAUUACAUGUGUGUUUAAAUGGACUCCUAAUUAUUUAUCUUUCUCCUGGAAAGUAUGACCAAUUGGUAUUUUUUAUAACCUCUAUUUUCUACUAAGAGAAUUGACAAGUACAGAGGAAAGUUCUGGACAUAUAACAGAGCCCUUUCUCUUUCUUUCGUGGACAGCUCAAGUCCUAAACGGAAAAUGAUGAUGGAGCAAGAGAGAUGUGUGAUGAAGCAGGGUUGUUUCUUAUUGUCUGUGCGCCCUCACUGUUUGCUGUUGUAUAACACCUUGGUGUGUGUGUGUUGGGGCGGUGGGUUGUAGGGGGAGUCAGAACAGGAGGUGGGGAAAGUACUUUGGAUGCGGUGCUCUAAAGAACCAUCCCCUAAUGUGCUUGACUUUUAGGGAUCUACUGGGGAUGAAAGCCAAAAAUACACAACAAAAGUAAAGUACAAUUCUGCAGCACUGCGUAUUCUACAAAGCAUUUUCUCAUUCCGCGACCCACUCGAUUCUUCUUACGACCCAGUGAAGGUGGGAUUACUGUCCCUAGCUUCUCCAGGAGAAAACUGCUCAUAAAGGUCUUCUCCUUACCCUGCUAACUUCCCUUUUAUCCACCAGAGGUACCCCGAGCAUGUAGGAUAUUCAUUAGUCUUUGUUGUAAGGACCUAAGGCAUGCCAUGCUCUGACAGUCCCUUUACCCUUGAAGGGAAGUGGGGCCAUUUCAUCUUGACACCUUAAAUGCCAGCUGUGAGCUCAUUCCCAAACGUUAGGGUGAUGUACAAGAGUCCUGGGCCGUAGUUCCUGGCCUUAAAGACCUAAAGUCCUCUUGGGAAGGUAAAGCAUAGAGACUUGGGACCACAAGAGGACAGUCCAAAAUGAAUAGUCCAAAAUGUCUCCUGGUGUAGCCAAGAAAAUGAUGGUGGUAGGAAUUUGGCUAGAGAAAGGAUAAUUGUUAUUGGAGUGGUAGAUGAUGGUAUACUAGAGACAGAGUUUUAGGGAAGUCUUUAAAUGUGUGGAGAAUGUGCACCUGUAAGAGGAGGUCAAUGUGGGUAAGCACAGCAUUAGGAAAUAAGGUUGGAAAAUGGUAGUAAAGUAAGUAUUCAUUAAAAAAACAAAAUAAGAUGAACUGCCUGAAACAAAGAUCUCCUUAUGCCCAGACUUGCAGCAGGUGAGGUUGACAAGUAAGGGGUCCAUUUGAGGUAAAGAACUUUCAACUCAAUUUCCUCAAACAGCACAGCUUCCCAGCUUCCUUAGAGUCCCAUGUGCUGCCAUGGGAGAGAGACAAGUUGUGCUGGAUGUGCCUAAUCUCUGUCUGCUCUGUCUCAGGGAAAGGAGUCAGGAACAUUGAAUGAUAUAUUGUAUCUGGUCUAGAACAGCCCUGGUUGUCAGACACUGUCCUGGGGAAAGGAGUCAGGAACGUUGAAUGAUUCAUGGUAUCUGGUCUAGAACAGCCCUGGUUUACAGACCCUGUCUCGGGGAAAGGAGUCAGGAAUGUUGAAUGAUUCAUGGUAUCUGGUCUAGAACAGCCCUGGUUUACAGACCCUGUCUCGGGAAAAGGAGUCAGGAACGUUGAAUGAUUUAUGGUAUCUGGUCUAGAACAGCCCUGGUUUACAGACCCUGUCUCGGGAAAAGGAGUCAGGAACGUUGAAUGAUUUAUGGUAUCUGGUCUGGAACAGCCCUGGUUUACAGACCCUGUCUCGGGAAAAGGAGUCAGGAACGUUGAAUGAUUUAUGGUAUCUGGUCUAGAACAGCCCUGGGUUACAGAGAAUGAUUCUGCCAUUGAUCAGCAAUUUAAGAUACAAUGUUCGAUUUGUACUUGUGAGCAUUGGGAAGACUAUGUAUAGGAGAUCUUUUGGAAACCUGUUAAAAUGUAUGUAUAAGCCAUAUUUAUAAGGCAUCGCUAUUUUCCAGCAUAAAGGGAAUUAAGAAAUUAAAAGUGUUAGUAGUUUGGAGGAAAUAGUGGAGAAGGAAACAUCAGAAAUCUGUAUUCCCACCUAGAUAACAGUUGCACUGGCAAAAUCUUUCUGAUGUAACUAUUUUGGAACUCUGGAGUCCAUUGAAAGUUUGCGGUUUCUAGGUAAAGGCUUGGACAGUAAAGUGUGGUUAAUUUGGGUUAAUUUUGGCUCUAGCACAGUAGCAGCUACCCACUCUCCACCCCAACCUUGCGGUGAAAGCUGUGCACAUGUUCCUGGAACAGGCUGCAUGCAGUUUGUGAGAAUCAGAGUGCGGAGAAAGACCCUGUCCUUCAAAUAUGAGGAAGCUGUGCUGUGAAUGUUGAUUGCAGCUGUUGAUAACAGGGGUGCAGACGAAAAGGUGGUGGCUGACACUGUUGCAUCUUACCCAUUGUCCCAACCCUUGCCUCCCACCUCCACCAGCAGAAGUGACUUCCAAGGUAUUUAAAAGGCUGGCACACUUCACCCAAAACCCUUUAUUUUACUUUUUCCUCCUUGGAAGCCAGACAUUAAAGACUAGGACACUCAGAAGCAACUUAAUAUAUGGAGAGAAUUAGAAAGUGACCACACAUGCUCAGGGAAAGGUGCAGGCUCAGAAAAGACCUGAGAGGACCUUCAUUUUACAGCUCAGUCUCAUCCUUGGCACAGAGACAGCCCACAAUAAGAAAAAAUAUAUACAUAUAUUUUAAAAUUAACAACAACAAACCCCAAGCAAACCCUGGGAAAAAUGAAGAAUCUGACUUCAAGAGUUAUCACAGUAUUAAAUUCAAAUGUCCAGUUUUUAACAAGAAGUUACAAGGCAUACAGAAAAUGAGAAAAUGUGGCAUAUUUAAAGGAAGAAAAUGAAUCAACAGAAAACUGUCCUUGAAAAAGACCUGAUAGCAGAUCUACUUGACAAACAUUUGAAAACACCUGUCUUAACGAUGCUCAAAGAACUAAAGAAAGAUGUGGAGAAAGUAAAGAAAAUAAUAUAUGAACAAAAUGAAAAUGUUAAUAAAGAUAUAGGAAACCUAAAA